AAUACGAUGCGUCAAUUAGCAGGCUCU
rnacentral:sRNA from 1 species